UACAGGGGGUGCAAACGUUGCUCGGAAUCACUGGGCGUAAAGCGCACGUAGGCGGACUCUUAAGUCGGUGGUGAAAUCCUGGAGCUCAACUCCAGAACUGCCUUCGAUACUGGGAGUCUCGAGUCCGGGAGAGGUGAGUGGAACUGCGAGUGUAGAGGUGAAAUUCGUAGAUAUUCGCAAGAACACCAGUGGCGAAGGCGGCUCACUGGCCCGGUACUGACGCUGAGGUGCGAAAGCGUGGGGAGCAAACAGG
rnacentral:rRNA from 1 species